rnacentral:lncRNA from 1 species
UAGUUAUAAUAGUGGUAGCAUUGAGGAUGUUUAGCUUAAGUUCUUCGGUGACAUAAUUAUCCCACCAAUACCUAAGCAUUCCGGUGAAGCCAGCUGUGAUCAUUGCAGCUGCUUCUUUGUCUGAAGAAUUACGCAGCUUAUAGCUGGUAAUACAAACACCCAUUUCGUGUAGAACACAAUAGAUUUGAUGUUCAGCAAGACCAUCAAUAUUCCAUUCGACUAUGCCUCUACCAUCAUGAGAUCGUGAAGAACACGAUAGAUUUGAUGUUCAGCAAGACCAUCAAUAUUCCAUUCGACUAUGCCUCAACCAUCAUGAGAUGAUUGAGACUGGAAUCCAUCUUCCUCAUACUGAGUAUCAGGAAAGGAGGGUCGUUUGUAAUAGUUUCUCC